CCCCGCUGUCUCCAUUAAAUGAGCGGAAUCUUACCCACCAUGUCAUUCCUCUAUCUCUAGCACUGUCCUUGUAGUCAAGUGUGUUGUCUAAGAAAACAGCAACAAUCNCAACAGUUGGGGAUGAGAAGAAGAUGGUGUUCAGAAAAUCAUUGAACCAUCCAGCUCGAGUAUGAGCAGGGCCAUGAAAGGCCUUGGCUGUGUAUUCUCUGAAGUACUCAGGGACGGACAAACCGAGAAAGAAUGCAACUCCGGUGAUGAAAAGGUUCCUCAUCGAGUUCAUGUUUGUGAAUUGCAAAAAUGACAAGCCCACCGAAGCAACA
rnacentral:misc_RNA from 1 species